UAUCGGAAACGAUAGCUAAGACCGGAUAACUGGUUUUCUCGCAUGAGAGAAUCAUGAAACACGGAGCAAUCUGUGGCUGAUAGAUGGGCCUGCGGCGCAUUAGCUAGUUGGUAGGGUAACGGCCUACCAAGGCGACGAUGCGUAGCCGACCUGAGAGGGUGAACGGCCACACUGGGACUGAGACACGGCCCAGACUCCUACGGGAGGCAGCAGUAGGGAAUCUUCCGCAAUGGACGCAAGUCUGACGGAGCAACGCCGCGUGAGUGAUGAAGGUUUUCGGAUCGUAAAGCUCUGUUGCCCUAGACGAACAGCAAGGCGAGUAACUGCGCUUUGUGUGACGGUAUAGGAGAAGAAAGCCCCGGCUAACUACGUGCCAGCAGCCGCGGUAAUACGUAGGGGGCAAGCGUUGUCCGGAAUUAUUGGGCGUAAAGCGCGCGCAGGCGGUUAAUUAAGUUGGGUGUUUAAGCCCGGGGCUCAACCCCGGUUCGCAUCCAAAACUG
rnacentral:rRNA from 1 species